rnacentral:rRNA from 1 species
AGCGAACGCUGGCGGCAGGCCUAACACAUGCAAGUCGAACGAAGUCUUCGGACUUAGUGGCGGACGGGUGAGUAACACGUGGGAACGUACCUUUUGGUUCGGAACAACUCAGGGAAACUUGAGCUAAUACCGGAUGAGCCCUCAGGGGGAAAGAUUUAUCGCCGAAAGAGCGGCCCGCGUUAGAUUAGCUAGUUGGUGAGGUAAAGGCUCACCAAGGCUACGAUCUAUAGCUGGUCUGGGAGGAUGAUCAGCCACACUGGGACUGAGACACGGCCCAGACUCCUACGGGAGGCAGCAGUGGGGAAUCUUGCGCAAUGGGCGAAAGCCUGACGCAGCCAUGCCGCGUGAAUGAUGAAGGUCUUAGGAUUGUAAAAUUCUUUUACCAGGGACGAUAAUGACGGUACCUGGAGAAGAAGCCCCGGCUAACUUCGUGCCAGCCGCCGCCGUAACAC